rnacentral:misc_RNA from 1 species
UCAGUAUCCCUACACGUUACUAAACCAUUUCAAGUAACGGCUAAGUAUCAGUCUCACGCUGC